rnacentral:rRNA from 1 species
AUUGAACGCUGGCGGAAUGCUUUACACAUGCAAGUCGAACGGUAGAGGGGGCAACCCCUCGAGAGUGGCGAACGGGUGAGUAAUAUAUCGGAACGUGCCCAGUCGUGGGGGAUAACGUAGCGAAAGUUACGCUAAUACCGCAUACGAUCUACGGAUGAAAGCGGGGGAUCGCAAGACCUCGCGCGAUUGGAGCGGCCGAUAUCAGAGUAGGUAGUUGGUGGGGGAAAGGCCCACCAAGCCAACGAUCUGUAGCUGGGCUGAGAGUACGACCAGCCACACUGGAACUGAGAGACGGUCCAGACUCCUACGGGAGGCAGCAGUGGGGAAUUUUGGACAAUGGACGCAAUGCUGAUCCAGCCAUUCCGCGUGCAGGAUGAAGGCCCUCGGGUUGUAAACUGCUUUUGUACGGAACGAAAAGGUUUCCAUUAAUACUGGGAGCUCAUGACGGUACCGUAAGAAUAAGCACCGGCUAACUACGUGCCAGCAGCCGCGGUAA